rnacentral:rRNA from 1 species
AUGGGACCUCAUUUUCCUCUAUGGCUAAAAGGGCAGAAGGGUGUCGUUUUUCUUGACAUUUCUGAUGCAGGCAUAGUUGAUAACCUCCCGGAUUGGUUUUGGAGUGUGGUUUCAAAUGUUCAAUAUUUGAACAUCUCUUUUAACCAAAUAAGCGGCAGGUUGCCAAGGACACUUGAGUUUAUGUCCUCAGCAGUGAUAUUUGAUCUGAAUUCCAACAACCUCACUGGUAUUCUACCACUGUUGCCAAGGCAAUUGGCAGAACUGGACAUUUCCAGAAACUCUUUAUCGGGGCCACUGCCACGAAACUUUGGAGCUCCGUUUAUUGAAGAGUUGUUGCUUUCUGAGAACAGUAUCAAUGGCACGAUUCCAACAUAUAUUUGUCAGCUGCAGUCAUUAUUGGUACUGGAUUUAGCAAAGAACCUCCUGGCAGGACACCUCCCUGUCUGUUCAGAAGAAACGAAAAAACUGAAUAGAUCCAUGAGAGCUCUAGUCCUGUAUGAAAACAACUUGUCUGGUGAAUUUCCUUCAUUUUUGGAGAGCUGCUCAGAGUUGGUUCUGCUUGAUCUUGCGCACAACAACUUUGCCGGAGAGUUGCCGGCAUGGUUAGCAAAUAAAUUGCCAGGUUUGUCCUACCUCCGGUUGCGGCAUAAUAAAUUCUCUGGCUCUAUUCCAGGUCAGCUCACACAGCUUGAACACCUACAGUAUGUGGACCUUGCAGAUAACCGAAUAUCAGGAUCUAUACCUCAUUCGUUGGCCAACUUAAAAGCAAUGAUACAGGAGGACCAAACACUUUGGAACCCCUUAGUGUGGAGUUAUGAAGGGCCAGCAAACCCUGACACGAAUGAUUCACCAAAAUAUGAUGACAGCUUAGCAGUGGUAAUGAAAGGCCAAGAACUUGAUUACACCAGAAAUAUUAUUUAUAUAGUUGGCCUCGACUUGUCCUGUAACAGUUUGGUCGGAGAGAUUCCAGAUGAAUUGACUUCCCUGGUUAGAAUGAAUAACCUGAACAUCUCCCAUAAUCAGUUGUCCGGCAGGAUCCCGGAGAAGGUCGGUUCGCUACGGUCAUUGGAGUCUCUCGACCUGUCAUUCAACGGACUCUCUGGCGAGAUUCCUUUUGGUCUCUCGGAAAUCACGACGUUAAGCAAGCUGAACCUGUCAUACAAUAACCUUUCGGGAAGAAUACCCUCAGGGAAUCAGCUGCAGUCACUCAUCGACCCAGCAUCGUCGUAUGUCGGCAACAACUAUCUUUGCGGGCCUCCUCUUUCCAGGAACUGCUGGGAGCCUGAUGUAACUAGAGGUGAUAUUGAGGAGCAUCAAGACGAGGCGAAGUAUUUCUAUCUUGGGCUGGCUGCAGGAUUUGUCUUUGGUCUCUGGCUGGUGUUCAUUAUCUUCUUGUUUCGUUCAUGUGGUGGGUUCGCAAUGUGCGGAGCAAUGCCAUCACGUUGGGCACGACUGCCUGAAGCUCAAGGAUUGGCAUUGCAGCUUCGUCGUGGGUGA